GACGAACGCUGGCGGCGUGCUUAACACAUGCAAGUCGAACGAAGUGGCGAACGGGUGAGUAACGCGUAAUCAACCUCCCCUUCAGAGGGGGACAACAGUUGGAAACGACUGCUAAUACCGCAUACUGAAUGGGGGGAGUGCGUCGGAUUGGCUAGUUGGAGGGGAAACGGCCCACCAAGGCGAGGAUCAGUAGCCGGGCUGGGAGGAUGAACGGCCAAAUUGGGACUGGGACACGGCCCAGACUCCUACGGGAGGCAGCAGUGGGGAAUCUUCCGCAAUGGACGGAAGUCUGACGGAGCAACGCCGCGUGAGUGAUGACGGCCUUCGGGUUGUAAAGCUCUGUUAAUCGGGACGCGGUACCGGAACAGAAAGCCACGGCUAACUACGUGCCAGCCGCCGCGGUAAUUC
rnacentral:rRNA from 1 species